UACAGAGGGUGCAAGCGUUAAUCGGAAUUACUGGGCGUAAAGCGUGCGUAGACGGUUAUGUAAGUCAGGUGUGAAAGCCCCGGGCUCAACCUGGGAAUGGCAUUUGAGACUGCAUAGCUAGGGUGCGGAAGAGGGAAGCGGAAUUCCCGGUGUAGCGGUGAAAUGCGUAGAUAUCGGAAGGAACAUCAGUGGCGAAAGCGGCUUCCUGGUCCAGCACCGACGUUCAGGCACGAAAGCGUGGGGAGCAAACAGG
rnacentral:rRNA from 1 species